GGCUUAACACAUGCAAGUCGAGCGCUCANUUCGGUGGAGCGGCGGACGGUUAGUAACGCGUGGAAUAUACCCUUUACUACGGAAUAGCCUCGGAAACUGAGAGUAAUACCGUAUACGCCCUUCGGGGAAAGAUUUAUCGUAAAGGAUUAGCCCGCGUUAGAUUAGAUAGUUGGUGGGGUAAUGGCCUACCAAGUCUACGAUCUAUAGCAGGUUUGAGAGGAUGAUCAGUAACACUGGGACUGAGACACGGCCCAGAUUCCUACGGGAGGCAGCAGUGGGGAAUCUUAGACAAUGGGCGAAAGCCUGAUCUAGCCAUGCCGCGUGAGUGAUGAAGGUCUUAGGAUCGUAAAGCUCUUUCGCUGGGGAAGAUAAUGACUGUACCCAGUAAAGAAACCCCGGCUAACUCCGUGCCAGCAGCCGCGGUAAUACGGAGGGGGUUAGCGUUGUUCGGAAUUACUGGGCGUAAAGCGUACGUAGGCGGAUUAUUAAGUUAGAGGUGAAAUCCCAGGGCUCAACCCUGGAACCGCCCUUAAUACUGGUAGUCUUGAGUUCGAGAGAGGUGAGUGGAAUUCCAAGUGUAGAGGUGAAAUUCGUAGAUAUUUGGAGGAACACCAGUGGCGAAGGCGGCUCACUGGCUCGAUACUGACGCUGAGGUACGAAAGUGUGGGGAGCAAACAGGAUUAGAUACCCUGGUAGUCCACACCGUAAACGAUGAAUGCCAGUCGUCAGGGGGCUUGCCCUUUGGUGACACACCUAACGGAUUAAGCAUUCCGCCUGGGAGUA
rnacentral:rRNA from 1 species